rnacentral:tRNA from 1 species
GGAGCGGUACUCAAGCGGUGAAGAGGCCUGCUGCCCUCUAGGCAGGUAGACGGAGCCAUCCGUGCCGGAAGGUUCGACUCCUUCCCCGCUCCA